rnacentral:rRNA from 1 species
CGAAGGUGCAAGCGUUACUCGGAAUUACUGGCGUAAGCGUGCGUAGGUGGUUGUUAAGUCUGAUGUGAAAGCCCUGGGCUCAACCUGGGAAUUGCAUUGGAUACUGGCGAGCUAGAGUGCGGGAGAGGAUGGCGGAAUUCCUGGUGUAGCAGUGAAAUGCGUAGAUAUCAGGAGGAACAUCCGUGGCGAAGGCGGCCAUCUGGACCAGCACUGACACUGAGGCACGAAAGCGUGGGAGCAAACAGGAUU